UGGCUCUCUGCAGACCCCAGCCAGGAGUCUCCCUGUGGGGUCGCUGCCUUCGGCCUCACCUUUUCCAGUAGAGAACGACGGAGCUGAUACUGGAACUGGCCUUGGUCUCAUACUGGAACGCAUACAUCUCCACUCGCUGGGACAGCCAGCAGGGAUGGCAAGGAUCUGGCCAAGGCGUCCAGGACGGCGUGCAGCAAUGAUCUGACCACGGAGGGGGCCCCGGCCUGAGCCUCAGCACUGGGAGGUGCAACUUCUGUCACGAGGGGAGUGAGGGUGGGGCGGGUGGAUCUGGGUCACCUGUUUGAGGUCAUCCUCGUUGGGGUGGAAGCCGGUGAGCAUUGAGAUCUCCAUGAUGGUCAUGGUGGCCACCUGGUUGCCCUGGAACCUGCGGAUUUCACAGCCCUCGGCUCUUCCAGCCGUCCUCUGCCUUUGUCCCCAUGCUCCCCACUGUGGCAUCUCUUGCCUGUACUAGUGCAGGAGCCUCCUGAGUUUCCCCAGCUCCACUCUGCCCGCAGUGGAAGGUUGGAAGCAGAAAUCUGAAGCGUCAUUGCCUCCAGAUGUCCUCUGGGGCUCUGCGUCCUUCCCUGCUCCACCUCUUCCCUCCAGCUCCAUCUGAUGGCUCUAAGCCUCAGCCCCUCUCUUGACCCCAGGGCCUUUGCACACGCAGGUCCCUCGGCCUGGAACUCCUGCUCUUCUCUCGUCAUCUUCUCUGUCUCAGCUGGUGUUUGGGAACCCUCAGUCGCCUCUUUUGCCACAUUUACUCAGGGUUGUCAUUUUAUACGGAUUCCCAGUGAUCAUUUGCUCACCAUCCAAGUCCUCUGAUAGUCUGUGAGCACCACCGAGCAGGGAGGGUCUGCCCUGUCCAGAGCUCGCCCCCUAGAUCCUAGGACAGAGGCUGGCACACAGCAGGUGCCAAGGGAGUCUGGGUGACAGCAGGACUCGGGUGAGGGGUGGGUGUCUGGAGAAAAUAAGACCUGGGGAGGGCCAUGGGGCGGGAGUCAGCUUUGGGCAUCUGGAGAUGACAUUGGUGCACUGGAGGUGGCAUCCUGGGCCACGUGGACACACAGGAUGGUGGCAGAGGGGAGGGCAGGAGCGGGUGGGAUGAGGAGAGGUGUGGAGAGCAGGCUCAGUGUUUCCCACCCCAGUCAGGGCACAGGAAUCUGGAUUCUACAGAGUGGGGCCCUCCUCCUGCCCAGCCCCGAGUCCUAGUGCUCUGACCUUGUUUCCAUUCAGAGCUGGAAGGUCUCCUCCCCCUUUUUAUUUUCUGCAAAGAGAAGGCAGAAGAGUUUGGAAGGCUGGAUUGCACAGUGGUUAAGCUCACAAGCUCUGAAGCCAGCGUCCUGGACUCAAAUCCUGAUGCUGUGGCUGUGUGACUUUGGGCUACUUAACCUCUCUGUGCUUCAGUUCCCUCAGUCAGAUUACAAUAUUCCACCUUGAGAGGUUAUUUGAGGAAUAAAUGAGUUAAUAUAAAUACAGCACUUAGCACAGGGCCUGGCCAGUGCAUUGCAGCCCUCAGCUUUGAGGAUGAUGGUGACGAUGCUGCUGCUGAAGAAACAGGGCCAAAACCAAAGGCCUGGCCACUGAUUGUCCCUGAAAUCCCUAGGCCUGGCGAGGCUCCUCCUUCCCUCUCUCAGGGAGCUCCCAGUGGCGGGGUGCUGUCCUUCCCCUCUUGGCACCCCAGCUGGGAACCGUACAGUUCCACUCUUUCUGAUCAUUUCCAAGCUGUGACCCCGUCGGUCCCCGUGGUCUCCCUGGCCUCGCAGCUCCCGCCCUCCCCCUUGGAGACUCUUCCUGCACAGCACUGAGAGUGAGGCUCUGGAACCCUGCGCUGGGUCAUGUCCCCCCUCUGCUCAGAACUGUCUCCGGCUCUCACUUCACUCAGGGCAAAAGCCAAAGUCUUCACGGUGGCCCACAAGUCCCUGGGCACCUCUCCUAUUACCCACCCACCCUUUCACCGCAGCUCUGCCCCGUCUGCUCUGGGCCUCACUGUCUCACUGCUUCUCAGACAGGUGUGCCCAUUCCUGCCUCAGGGCCUUUGCACUGGCGUUUUCCUCAGGGCCUUCAUGGCUCGCUCCCUCAAUUUCUUCACCUCUCAGUUCAAAUACUGCCUCCUGCGAGAUCCUCCCUCUUCUCCCCACAAUCUACAUCAUCUUUUCCUACAUUAUUUUGUAUGACAUUUUUCAUCACUUACUAUUAUGCCAUAUAUUUAAUUUCUUGUACAUUUACUUAUGUUAUAAAAUAGAAAAUGGUAUAAAAUAA